rnacentral:lncRNA from 1 species
UCCCUGUUUAUAUGUUGUUUAAUGUAAUGCAUUUGUCAUAAUUAUAUAACAUGAAUUCCAAGACUUGCUUCAAUAGGUGUAUACGUAACAAGUGCAGUUAGUCAACUUGUCUUUUGUACUAAAAAUUUAGUGAAGUAUGUGUACGAUAGUUCGUCGUUGGAAUAUGAUUGAAUUUAAAUUAUUUUUCAACAGAAAUGUAAUUAAUUAAAUAACUACAUUACAUGCGCACAAUUUUUAGUAACUGUUUAACUGUUUAUUCCCCCCCCCCCGAGGUUUAUUCAAAAUACACUCAGCCGGAC